UACCAGACUCCUACGGGAGGCAGCAGUGGGGAAUAUUGCACAAUGGGGGAAACCCUGAUGCAGCGACGCCGCGUGAGCGAUGAAGUAUUUCGGUAUGUAAAGCUCUAUCAGCAGGGAAGAAGAUGACGGUACCUGACUAAGAAGCCCCGGCUAACUACGUGCCAGCAGCCGCGGUAAUACGUAGGGGGCAAGCGUUAUCCGGAUUUACUGGGUGUAAAGGGAGCGUAGACGGCGGCGCAAGCCAGAUGUGAAAGCCCGGGGCUCAACUCCGGGACUGCAUUUGGAACUGUGUGGCUGGAGUGUCGGAGAGGCAGGCGGAAUUCCUAGUGUAGCGGUGAAAUGCGUAGAUAUUAGGAGGAGCACCAGUGGCGAAGGCGGCCUGCUGGACGAUGACUGACGUUGAGGCUCGAAAGCGUGGGGAGCAAACAGGAUUAGAUACCCUUGUAUCA
rnacentral:rRNA from 1 species